UUCCCUCAGUAACUGCGAGUGAAGUGGGAAAAGCUCAAAUUUAAAAUCUGGUAGUCUUUGGCUAUCCGAAUUGUAAUCUAGAGAAGCAUUAUCCGCGCUGGACUGUGUACAAGUCUUCUGGAAUGGAGCAUCAUAGAGGGUGAGAAUCCCGUCUUUGACACACAGACUACCAGGGCUUUGUGAUACGCUCUCAAAGAGUCGAGUUGUUUGGGAAUGCAGCUCUAAAUGGGUGGUAAAUUCCAUCUAAAGCUAAAUAUUGGCGAGAGACCGAUAGCGAACAAGUACCGUGAGGGAAAGAUGAAAAGAACUUUGGAAAGAGAGUUAAACAGUACGUGAAAUUGUUGAAAGGGAAACGCUUGAAGUCAGUUAUAUUGAUCAGAAAUCAGCCAUACUAUUUUAGUUUGGUGUAUUUUCUGUUCAGUGAGUCAGCAUCAAUUUCGAUCAGUGGAAAAAAAUUAAGGGAAUGUAGCAUCUUUGGAUGUGUUAUAGCCUUUGAUUAUAUACAUUGAUUGGAAUUGAGGAACUCAGCACGCCGAAAGGCCGAGUAGUUUACUACUACGAAUCGUGCUUAGGAUGCUGGCAUAAUGGCUUUAAUCGACCCGUCUUGAAACACGGACCAAGGAGUCUAACAUGCCUGCAAGUAUUUGGGUGGAAAACCCAAGUGCGCAAUGAAAGUGAAAGUUGGGAUCUCUGUCAUGGAGAGCACCAAUGCCCGGACCAGACCUUCUGUGACGGAUCCGCGGUUGAGCAUGUAUGUUGGGACCCGAAAGAUGGUGAACUAUGCCUGAAUAGGGYGAAGCCAGAGGAAACUCUGGUGGAGGCUCNNNNNNNUUCUGACGUGCAAAUCGAUCGUCGAAUUUGGG
rnacentral:rRNA from 1 species